GAUUUGAUUUAUUCCUCGAGAAAAUAAAUUUGAUUUAUUCACUUAAAUCAAUAAUUGAUCAACUUGAACUUUGAAAAAGUUACAUUAAUAUAUCUUUUCGCAUCCUUUAAUUUAAGGACUAGUCCGCAUAUUUCGUCUGUUCUCGCUUCAAACCAAGCCAUCAUAAAUACAUCAGAGAUUACUAAAAUUAAAGCAUUUAUUUAAAAACAAUCCCCAUCUAACUUCAAAGUAUGAGGUAAAUCGAUUAGUUUACGCUAGCCAAGCAACCAACAGACAAAAUAAAUCUUGUCUCCCCGAUCGAGACUAUCUAUAGACACGGAAUAAAAAAUAUGGAAAUAAUAGCAUGUUAGCUAUAGAUUGGUUACAAACACAUUUAUGCAAACAUGAAGCAGCUGUUUCUUUACUGAACUGGUCAGUGGUAAUACAAAACCAGGGUUUCAAAAAGAUGAAGAAAAAGAAAAAGACAUUUAAAAUUUAUAAAAAAGAAAUCAGAAAUAGUGUUUAACUGAAAUUGAACAAAAAAGAAAUUAUAAAAAAUAUAGUCUAUAAUAUGUGAAUAUUUAUUUAAGAAAGCUAACAAUAAAAUGAAAGAAAAAUAUGUGAUGCUUAAGAACAUUGACCUGGGCC
rnacentral:lncRNA from 1 species